rnacentral:lncRNA from 1 species
AUGGGUAAAUUAACCUCCCUGAGCUCCGGGAUGCCACAGCUGGAUUGCUACCUCUCCCUGGCAUGCUUCAUCAAAAGCUGUGCUAGGAACUUCUCAUGGCAAGCACAGGGGAGGGCCCCCAAAGCCUGCCCAUGGCAGAAGGAUCUUGUCCUUGUUACACCCUCUGUCCUCUCUGCACUGAGGAGGAGUCUCAUCCUGGUGGGAUUGGAAACCUGGAGCAAGAGAGCUACAAGCCUGAGACAGGAGAGCAAAUGAUGAGGUGAUGAUGGUGAUCUGGUGAAGCCUUGGAGGAGACUGAAUGACCCAGGUCUGCAACCACACCUGCAGGCAGACGAAGGAUGCACGAUUAACACCCCCUGAUGUGAUAAGCUGUGAAGGGAACUGUGCUGCUGCACUAAUUCAAGGCACUAUUUUCUGUGCCCAAAAAUCUACAGUUCCUGAUAUGUGGUUUAGGGGACAGUCACAGCAGGAGGUUCCCCUGGCACCCUGGGACUGGUGAGCCCACAUUUGUAGGUAAAUACACCUACAGCUAGUGAGGUGUUUCUCUUCCUACAACUCCCAUGUUAUAUUUGUCAUUAUUCUCCAACAUAUCUCAGUACCUGAGCCAUAAAACAAGGACCAGAUCUUGCCUGGAAGAUUGAGAUCAGAUUUUCAGAACACUGGUUGCCUUACAUUGAGCAUUCAUACAGCAUCCACAAAUGUGGGGCUGUGGUCUCAGCAGGCAUCUCGUGGUUGACAGUCAUACAAAAAAAUCACAAUAAACCAGAAGAGAGAAGUAAGAUCA